UAAGUGUGUUUUCUGUUUUUC
ensembl:piRNA 21ur-378 ncRNA